rnacentral:rRNA from 2 species
UACCUGUCGGUAAGCGAGGUUAAUUAAUUUGUCAUUUCUAUAUGAGUAAGAGGAUAAUAAUCCUCAUGGACAAGUAUAAAAUCGAUUUUAUCGAAUAAAGUUCUAGAUAGAAUAAUGAUUAUGACAAUUUUCUAUCUAUGUGUCUUGACCAAAUUACGUGCCAGCAGUCGCGGUAAUACGUAGAAGACUAGUGUUAUUCAUCUUUAUUAGGUUUAAAGGGUACCUAGACGGUUUAAUUAGUCUACAAUAAGAUACGAUUUUACUAGAGUUAUAUAUGAGGAGGUGAGUAUUUAUGGAGUAGAGUUGAAAUUCAGUCAUACCAUGAGGACUGGUAACGGCGAAAGCAACCUCUUAUCUAAUAACUGACGUUGAGGGACGAAGGCUCGGGUAACGAACAGGAUUAGAUACCCUAAUAGUCCAAGCAGAGAAUUAUGAAUGCCAUAGAUUAGAAAUUUUUAGUCUAUAAAUGAAAGUGUAAGCAUUUCACCUCAAGAGUAAUGUGGCAACGCAGGAACUGAAAUCAUUAGACCGUUUCUGAAACCAGUAGUGAAGUAUGUUAUUUAAUUCGUAAGCACGCGAAAAACCUUACCACAACUUGAAUAUUAUUUUAUUUUUAAUUUUCUAUAUAACUAUACGGAUAUAUAGUAUUAUAGGUGAAGUAUUACAAGCGUUGCAUGGCUGUCUUCAGUUAAUGUCGUGAGAUAUAGGUUAAUUC